GCUGCAGCUACAAGAUUUUUUAGCUGGAGUCAUUCAAAGGAAUCAAUCAAUAAGAGCUUUUCUCAUCAAUCACAAGGGCUGGAGAUGAACUUUAUGUCAAUGAAAAUGGAGAUUCUCAUGUCCUGAUGUACAGAAGUCAAUAGGAGCUAGGUGCAGCCCUAGACAGCACAAGAGCCUCAUCCUACAAAUAUCCUUCAGGGAAAUCCUACUCCAAUGAAGUUAAUCAGUUUUCCCAUUGACUUUAAUGGGUUUAGAAUUUCAGGAAUAGGGUCUAUUGCAAAACUCACUUAACCCAAUGAAAAUGAUCCCAUUGAUUUCAAUGAACUUUGGAUCAGGUUGAUAGUGUUUGCCACCAUGAACUGACGCAGUGAAGUCACUGGUCCUGAUUUUGCUAUCACGCUGGUGUAAAUCAGGAGUAACUCCACCAAAGACAAUGGAUUUAUACCAGUGUCAAGUGAAAGCGGUAAAGCUCAGUGGUUCAUUCAUAAUCAUUAGCACUUCACCUGGUGCUACGUGUUUGCAGGUCUGAGCCCUUAGUGGAUUUCUGGGAGCAAGGGCUUCAUUUCUUAUUGUUUCUUCUUACACAUUGCUUAGUAAAUUGCAAUGUACUGUCCAUCUCCAACAAUGUGGCAGAGAGCACUGAAAAUUGAGAACACCUUUGAAUCAAGGGAGCUCUCUGUUUGGUAGAAAUUCCAGACCUCUGUGAGCAGUGUUAUCAAGCUGAAAAGAAAUAAAGAGGUGAUGCACAACGUCAGGGUGCAUCCGAAAAUCAGAGCUGCAUGAGAGAUUGGGGAUGUGUUUAGAAUCUGAAAAACUGUUGCCCUUUGGAAAACAUUUACAUGUCUGUAUUCAGAUGUUAUGUAGUUGAAUGGGUACAAAUUAUAUAAAGCAAAGGCUCACCGUGUGUUAAAGGGACACGAUCAAUUUAACUUUUGCCCACCAAAUUUUGAUUUUGUACAAACAAGCUUUUAGAAAACCUAAGUCCAGUAGAAAUGUUCUUAUGAAUUAGG